CCGCGGUAAUACGUAGGAUGCAAGCGUUGUCCGGAUUUAUUGGGCGUAAAGAGUUCGUAGGCUGUUUGUUAAGUCUGAUGUUAAAGACCGGGGCUCAACCUCGGAAAUGCAUUGGAUACUGGCAGACUGGAGUGCAGUAGAGGCUAGUGGAAUUCCCAGUGUAGCGGUGAAAUGCGUAGAUAUUGGGAAGAACACCGGUGGCGUAGGCGACUAGCUGGGCUGUAACUGACGCUGAGGAACGAAAGCCAGGGGAGCGAAUGGGAUUAGAUACCCCAGUAGUCCUGGCCGUAAACGAUGGAUACUAGGCGUAGUGGGUAUCGACCCCCGCUGUGCCGCAGCUAACGCGAUAAGUAUCCCGCCUGAGUAGUACGGCCGCAAGGUUGAAACUCAA
rnacentral:rRNA from 1 species